AUGAGUACAACACAUUCAAGAAGCUCAAGUAGCGCGAGACUGGAGGGGGUUGGGACUUUGAGAAAAACACUGUUAAACAAGAUAAUGAGUGGUGGAAAAAGGCGAGAGUUGACCUUCCAGGUUGUGGCAAGUUCAAGAAGCAUGGACUCCGUAACGAAGAAGGCUUGCGCGUCUUGUUUGAGGAUAUCAGUGUUGAUGGCACUGACCAUUGGAACCCCGCAUCUGGUCUGCCUCCCCCCUCUAGUUCGGCAUUGA
rnacentral:rRNA from 1 species